GAUGAACGCUGGCGGCGUGCUUAAUACAUGCAAGUCGAACGGAGACAGUAGCAAUAUUGUCUUAGUGGCGAACGGGUGAGUAACGCGUUGGUGACCUGCCCCGAAGAGAGGGAUAGCAGUUCGAAAGGACUGAUAAUACCUCAUGUGGUUAUUGGUUUUAGAAUCUGAUAACUAAACGGAUUUAUUCGCUUCGGGAGGGGCCUGCGUCCCAUCAGCUAGUUGGUAAGGUAAUGGCCUACCAAGGCGAUGACGGGUAGGGACCUGAGAGGGUGGCCCCCCACAAUGGAACUGAAACACGGUCCAUACACCUACGGGUGGCAGCAGUAGGGAAUAUUGGUAAUGUGCGAAAGCGCGAACCAGCAACGCCGCGUGCACGAUGAAGGCCUUCGGGUUGUAAAGUGCUUUUAGAGAGGAUGAGGAAGGACAGUACUUUCUGAAUAAGCCUCGGCUAACUACGUG
rnacentral:rRNA from 1 species